rnacentral:rRNA from 1 species
GGACCUCUCGACUAAUAGAUGAGCCUAGGCCGGAUUAGCUAGUUGGUAAGGGUAAAGGCCUACCAAGGCGACGAUCUGUAGCUGGUCUGAGAGGAUGGCCAGCCACACUGGAACUGAGACACGGUCCAGACUCCUACGGGAGGCAGCAGGUGGGGAAUAUUGGACAAUGGGGGCAACCCUGAUCCAGCCAUGCCGCGUGUGUGAAGAAGGCCUUCGGGUUGUAAAGCACUUUAAGCGAGGAGGAAGGUUUUUAGUUUAAUACACUAAAGAAUUGACGUUACUCGCAGAAUAAGCACCGGCUAACUCUGUG